GGCCUUUACUGACGCUAAAGCUCGAAGGUGCGGGUAUCGAACAGGAUUAGAUACCCUGGUAGUCCGCACGGUAAACGAUGGAUGCCCGCUGUUCGCGAUAUACUGUGAGCGGCCAAGAGAAAUCGUUAAGCAUCCCACCUGGGGAGUACGCCGGCAACGGUGAAACUCAAAGGAAUUGACGGGGGCCCGCACAAGCGGAGGAACAUGUGGUUUAAUUCGAUGAUACGCGAGGAACCUUACCCGGGCUUGAACUGCAGCGGAAGGAAACAGAGAUGUUGACGCCCUUCGGGGCCGCUGUGGAGGUGCUGCAUGGUUGUCGUCAGCUCGUGCCGUGAGGUGUCGGCUUAAGUGCCAUAACGAGCGCAACCCUUUCCGUUAGUUGCCAUCAGGUAAUGCUGGGCACUCUGGCGGUACUGCCACCGUAAGGUGUGAGGAAGGUGGGGAUGACGUCAAAUCAGCACGGCCCUUACGUCCGGGGCUACACACGUGUUACAAUGGGGGGUACAGAGAGUCGGGUGCCGGCAACGUCACCCCAAUCAUGAAAGCCCUCCUCAGUUCGGAUUGGGGUCUGCAACCCGACCCCAUGAAGCUGGAUUCGCU
rnacentral:rRNA from 1 species